GCCUGCUUGAAGGACACAUGGUUGAAGCAUGGAGACAUUUUUCUCCUUUGUCCUGUCUAAAACAUGUGUCAUCAGCGAUUUGCCCAGCAGAGUUCCAGGAUGUUCCUCAGAAUUGACAGCUGUGAGGAUGCCAAGACCUCAAACUCAAAACCAGUUGAGACAAGUGAAACUUAAGCCAUUUGUCAAACAAGCAUCUCACAGCUAUGAAGAAUGAAGCCUUCAGAAUGAACUUAGAACCAAGUAGCUGG
rnacentral:lncRNA from 1 species